rnacentral:rRNA from 1 species
GACAGAGGUGCCAAGCGUUAGGCGGAAUCACUGGGCUUAAAGCGUGUGUAGGCGGGCGAUCAAGUACCUUGUGAAAUCCCACGGCUCAACCGUGGAACUGCUUGGUAUACUGGAUGUCUUGAGCCAUCUAGGGGCUACCGGAACAAAUGGUGGAGCGGUGAAAUGCGUAGAUAUCAGGAGGAACACCAAUGGCGAAGGCAGCUCGCUGGGACGGUACUGACGCUGAGACGCGAAAGCGUGGGGAGCAAACAGG